CUAUGAUCAUUUUUUUAUAUUGAUUAAGAUUGAUUUUGUCUUAUAAAAUUAGCUAUAUUAUUUAAUUUUAUAUAUAAGUUUUUGCGGGUGAUUAAAGUAUCUUAAUGAUAAUUUUUUUUAGUUGUAGUUUUUUGUAUUGGUGUUUUUGUAAAUAAAGACUCAGUUAAUUAUUUUAGAAUUGUCAAAGGUUGUGCCAGCAGACGCGGUUACACAAUUGAUUCAUGUUAAUUUUUUUGG
rnacentral:rRNA from 1 species